AUGUCGUUUGACAACGGCAAGGACAUGUGGGCUGCGCUCGAGGCCAAGUUUGGUGCCUCGAACGCCGGCAGCGAGUUGUACAUCAUGGAGCAAUUCUAUGACUACAAGAUGACUGAUGAGCGCCCUGUUGUAAAGCAGGCUCAUGAGAUACAUUCGCUCGCAAAAGAAUUUGAGUACUUCAAGUGUGUGUUGCCGGACAAAUUUGUUGCCGGAGGCAUCAUUGCCAAGCUUCCACCUUCGUGGAACAAUUUUGCUACUUCCCUGAAACACAAGAGACAGGAGUUUUCCGAUGCGGAUCUCAUUGGUACUCUUGAUGUUGAAGAGAAGGCGAGAGCAAAGGACACACGUGCUCGAGUUGCUGAGGGAGGUUCUAGUGCCCACAUGGUACAGAAGAAGAACUCCCAGCCCAACAAGUUCAAAAAUAAUAAGAACAAAACUCAGGGCAAAGGCAAGUUUGAUACGAAGAACAAGCCAUCACAUUCUACCAACUUCAAGAAAAAUUCUCAUAAGAAGGGGAAGGGACUUUGCCAUGUCUGCGGCUCCAAGUGCCAAGUAUGUGUGCAAGCUAAGCAACCUCGCAAGUCCCAUAAGACUGCAGAGGCAAGAGACUUGGCGCCACUAGAGCUUAUACAUUCUGAUCUUUGUGAGAUGAAUGGCGUGUUGACAAAAGGUGGAAAGAGAUACUUCAUGACGUUGAUUGAUGACUCCACUAGAUAUUGUUAUGUGUAUCUUCUGAAAUCAAAAGAUGAGGCUUUGACUUUCUUUAAAAACUGUAAAGCUGAGGAGAAUCCUGUUGAGAGUAACAAUGGAACUCCUGUGAGGAGUAAGAGACAGAGGACUGCAAAGUCUUUUGGUGAUGAUUUCAUUGUGUACCUCGUCGAUGACACACUCAGGACUAUUUCAGAAGCCUAUGCAUCUCUUGAUGCUGACUACUGGAAGGAAGCUGUACGUAGCGAGAUGGAUUCCAUCUUAGCUAACGGUACCUGGGAGAUCACUGACCGUCCUUAUGGGUGCAAACCUGUAGGAUGCAAGUGGGUGUUCAAGAAGAAGCUUAGACCUGAUGGUACGAUUGAAAAGUACAAGGCACGGCUUGUGGCCAAGGGUUAUACCCAGAAAGAAGGUGAAGACUUCUUUGAUACUUACUCACCCGUGGCUAGACUGACCACAAUUCGGGUGCUACUAUCACUGGCUGCCUCACAUGGUCUUCUCGUUCAUCAAAUGGACGUUAAAACGGCUUUCCUUAAUGGAGAGUUGAAGGAGGAAAUUUACAUGGAUCAGCCAGAUGGUUUUGUAGUACCUGGUCAGGAAGGAAAUGUGUGCAAGUUAUUAAAGUCUUUAUAUGGCCUUAAACAAGCUCCUAAGGAGUGGCAUGAGAAGUUCGAAAGAACAUUAACUGCUGCCGGCUUUGUAGUAAACGAUGGUGACAAGUGCGUGUACUAUCGCUAUGGUGGGGGCGAAGGAGUUAUUCUUUGUCUGUAUGUCGACGACAUAUUGAUCUUUGGAACCAAACUUGAUUUAAUCAAGGAGGUUAAGGAUUUCUUAUCUCGCUGUUUUGAGAUGAAGGAUCUAGGAGUAGCUGAUGCUUCAGUCUCAUUAUGUGGAAAAGGUCUUGAGUCGUUUUGGGUAUAG
rnacentral:rRNA from 1 species